UGCUGAUUGACCUUCACCUCCUCUCUGCUCAGGGAUCUCGGGAGCCGGGGCAGAUGCUACCACGGAAGCUGAAAUG
ensembl:snoRNA Gm22394 predicted gene, 22394